rnacentral:rRNA from 1 species
UACGUAGGUGGCAAGCGUUAUCCGGAUUUAUUGGGUGUAAAGGGAGCGUAGACGGCAGCGCAAGUCUGGAGUGAAAUGCCGGGGCCCAACCCCGGAACUGCUUUGGAAACUGUGCAGCUCGAGUGCAGGAGAGGUAAGCGGAAUUCCUAGUGUAGCGGUGAAAUGCGUAGAUAUUAGGAGGAACACCAGUGGCGAAGGCGGCUUACUGGACUGUAACUGACGUUGAGACUCGAAAGCGUGGGGAGCAAACAGG